CUGCCCCGCCGCCGCUCUCGGGCUACGGCCGGGUCUCGCGCGCCGUCUUCUCGUGAGGGGCCUCGCGCCGCCCGGCGCACGCCGCCCCCCUGCCUCGCGGCGCGGGGUCUCGCGGGCCCCGCUCCCGCCCUCCGCUUGCCUGGCCCGGACCGGAAGCGGCGCCGCACGGCCUGGGCCUGGCGCGGGGGGCGGGCACCGGGGCCCGGUCGGAUAUGGGCAAGAAGCACAAGAAGCACAAGUCGGACAAACACCUCUACGAGGAGUAUGUAGAGAAGCCCUUGAAGCUGGUCCUCAAAGUGGGAGGGAACGAAGUCACCGAGCUCUCCACGGGCAGCUCGGGGCACGACUCAAGCCUCUUCGAAGACAAAAACGAUCAUGACAAACACAAGGACAGAAAGCGGAAAAAGCGAAAGAAAGGAGAGAAGCAGGUUCCAGGGGAAGAAAAGGGGAGAAAACGGAGACGAGUAAAGGAGGAUAAAAAGAAGCGAGAUCGGGACCGUGUGGAGAAUGAGGCAGAAAAAGACCUCCAGUGCCCGACCCCUGUAAGAUUAGACUUGCCUCCUGAGAAGCCUCUCACAAGCUCUUUAGCCAAACAAGAAGAAGUAGAACAGACACCCCUUCAAGAAGCUUUGAAUCAACUGAUGAGACAAUUACAGAGAAAAGACCCAAGUGCUUUCUUUUCAUUUCCUGUGACUGAUUUUAUUGCUCCCGGCUACUCCAUGAUCAUUAAGCACCCAAUGGAUUUUAGUACCAUGAAAGAAAAGAUUAAGAACAAUGAUUACCAGUCCAUAGAAGAACUGAAGGAUAACUUCAAACUAAUGUGUACUAAUGCUAUGAUUUACAACAAACCCGAGACCAUUUAUUAUAAAGCUGCAAAGAAGCUAUUGCACUCAGGGAUGAAAAUUCUUAGCCAGGAGAGAAUUCAGAGCCUGAAGCAGAGCAUAGAAUUCAUGGCAGACUUGCAAAAAAGUCGAAAGCAGAAAGAUAGAACAGACACCUCGCAGAGUGGGGAGGACAGCGGCUGCUGGCCAAGAGAAAGGGAAGACUCUGGAGAUACUGAAGCGCAAGCCUUCAAGAGUCCCAAUAAAGAAAACAAAAAGAAAGACAAAGAUAUGCUUGAAGAUAAAUGUAAGAGCAAUAGUUUAGAAAGAGAGCAGGAGCAGAUUGACCGCAUCGUUAAGGAAUCCGGAGGAAAGCUGACCAGGCGGCUUGUUAAUAGCCAGUGUGAAUUUGAAAGGAGAAAACCAGAUGGAACAACAACAUUGGGGCUUCUCCAUCCUGUGGAUACCAUUGUAGGAGAACCAGGCUACUGCCCUGUGAGACUGGGAAUGACAACUGGAAGGCUUCAGUCUGGAGUAAAUACUUUGCAGGGGUUCAAGGAAGACAAAAGGAACAAAGUCACUCCAGUGUUAUACUUGAACUACGGACCCUACAGUUCUUAUGCUCCGCAUUAUGACUCCACAUUUGCAAAUAUCAGCAAGGACGAUUCGGAUCUGAUCUAUUCAGCCUAUGGGGAAGACUCUGAUCUUCCCAGUGAUUUCAGCAUCCAUGAGUUUUUGGCCACGUGCCAGGAUUAUCCCUAUGUGAUGGCAGACAGUUUACUGGAUGUUUUAACAAAAGGAGGUCAUUCUAGAACCCUGCAAGAGUUGGAGAUGCCAUCACCAGAAGAUGAAGGCCAGACUAGGACCCUUGACCCAGCAAAAGAAAUGGAGAUUACCGAAAUAGAGCCAGCAGGGCGUUUAGAUUCCAGUAAUCAGGACCGGCUCACAGCACUGAAAGCAGUAACAAAUUUUGGUGCUCCUGUUGAAGUUUUUGACUCUGAAGAAGCUGAAAUGUUCCAGAGGAAACUUGAUGAGACCACCAGAUUGCUCCGAGAGCUCCAGGAAGCCCAGAACGAGCGUCUGAGCACCAGACCCCCUCCCAACAUGAUCUGUCUCUUGGGUCCCUCUUACAGGGAAAUGCAUCUUGGUAUGUUACGCCUCCGCUGAACAGGUAACCAACAAUCUGAAAGAACUUGCGCAGCAAGUCACUCCAGGCGACAUUGUCAGCACGUAUGGAGUUCGAAAAGCAAUGGGGAUUUCCAUCCCCUCCCCCCUCAUGGAAAACAACUUUGUAGAUUUAACGGAAGAUUUUGAAGACCCGAGAAAGACUGACGUUGCCGAGUGUGGACCCAGUGGGAUUUGAAGCUCACUGGUAUUUCAUUAUAUAGUCUGUACAUACUUUUUUCAUUCUUAACCUGGAGAUGCUUUUCAGAAGAUAUAAAAUAUUUGUAAAUUGUGUUUUUAAUUGAACUUUGGAACAGUUAAUUUUAACGUUCCAGAGAUUGGACUUGUCUUAGGUAAUAAAGCUGAGCCUGGGACUAUGA